GACGAACGCUGGCGGCGUGCCUAAUACAUGCAAGUCGAACGCAGUGGGGACGGGUGAGUAACACGUGGGUAACCUCCCAUCAGAGGGGAUAACACUUGGCAACAGGUGCUAAACCGAUACUGAUUGAUGGACCCGCGGUGCAUUAGCUAGUUGGUGGGGUAACGGCUAACAAAGGCCACGAUGCAUAUCCGACCUGAGAGGGUGAUCGGCCACACUGGGACGGAGACAGGGCCCAAACUCCUACGGUAGGCAGCAGUAGGGAAUCUUGGGCAAUGGACGAAAGUCUGACCGAGCAACGCCGCGUGAGUGAAGAAGGUUUUCGGGUCGUAAAACUCUGUUGUUAGAGAAGCGGUAUCUAACCAGAAAGCCACGGCUAACUACGUGCCAGCCGCCGCGGUAAUUC
rnacentral:rRNA from 1 species